rnacentral:rRNA from 1 species
AUUGAACGCUAGCGGCAUGCUUAACACAUGCAAGUCGAACGGUAACAGGCCUAGCUUGCUAGGCGCUGACGAGUGGCGGACGGGUGAGUAACGCGUAGGAAUCUACCUUGUAGAGGGGAAUAACCUGGGGAAACUCAGGCUAAUACCGCAUAAGCACUAAGGGGGAAAGCAGGGGAAUGUAACAGGCCUUGCACUAUGAGAUGAGACUACGUCGGAUUAGCUAGUUGGUAGGGUAAAGGCCUACCAAGGCGAAGAUCCGUAGCUGGGCUGAGAGGCCGACCAGCCACACGGGGACUGAGGCACGGCCCAGACGCCUAAGCGUGGCAGCAGUGGGGAAUAUUGGACAAUGGGCGCAAGCCUGAUCCAGCAGUGCCGCGUGUGUGAAGAAGGCCUGCGGGUGGUAAAGCACUUUCAGUGGGGAGGAACGUUUUUAGCACUAAUACUGCUAAGAGGUGACGCUACCCAAAGAAGAAGCACCGGCUAACUCUGUGCCAGCCGCCGCGGUAA